rnacentral:rRNA from 1 species
GACGAACGCUGGCGGCGUGCUUAACACAUGCAAGUCGAACGGUGAACGAGGGAGCUUGCUCCCUCCGCAUCAGUGGCGAACGGGUGAGUAACACGUGAGCAAUCUGCCUCGAACUCUGGGAUAAGCGUUGGAAACGACGUCUAAUACCGGAUACGACGCUGGAGCGCAUCCUCUCCGCGUGGAAAGAACUUCGGUUCGGGAUGAGCUCGCGGCCUAUCCGCUUGUUGGUGAGGUAUCGGCUCACCACGGCGCCGACGGGUAGCCGGCCUGGGAGGGUGACCGGCCACACUGGGACUGAGAGACGGCGCAGAAUGCUACGGGAGGCAGCAGGGGGGAAUAUUGCACAAUGGGCGCAAGCCUGAUGCAGCAACGCCGCGAGAGGGACGACGGCCUUCGGGUUGUAAACCUCUUUUAGCAGGGAAGAAGCGAAAGUGACGGUACCUGCAGAAAAAGCACCGGCUAACUACGUG